rnacentral:rRNA from 1 species
UACAGAGGGUGCGAGCGUUAAUCGGAAUUACUGGGCGUAAAGCGUGCGCAGGCGGUUCGCUGUGUCCGAUGUGAAAGCCCCGGGCUUAACCUGGGAAUGGCAUUGGAAACUGGCGGGCUUGAGUGUGGCAGAGGGGGGUGGAAUUCCGCGUGUAGCAGUGAAAUGCGUAGAGAUGCGGAGGAACACCGAUGGCGAAGGCAGAUCUCUGGGCCGUAACUGACGCUGAGGAGCGAAAGCGUGGGGAGCGAACAGG